UCUUUAGCCCCUUUUCCCCUAUCUGAACGGCGACAACAAACCAGCCCCACCCACGAGCCAUAGACGACGACCCAUUGCCCCGGCGCACUCUAACCCCCGCGCCGCCGCCGCCGCCGCCGCCGAAAGAAGGAGAGAGAGGGAACGAGAGAGAUGGGAAAGAGAGGAGGGGUUCGUUCAUCCUCAGGGGGGAGUAGAAACGUUCUGCUUCGUCGUCUGGAAUCUUCCUUUAAGAACGGCAACUAUGGAACCCUCGACCAAAUCAUCAACCGUCUCCGUUCGAACCACCCCGACUACGGCCGAACAAAGCAACAAGUCCUUGCCAGGCAGGUCCAACGUGCCCUUGAAGAAUCUAAACACUUCCUAAACAACAACAAUAACAAGCAUAAGAGGAACAAAUCCCACUCUCCUUCUCAAACACUAGUCUGCGCCGCCGAUGAUGAUGAUGAAGAAGAAGAUGAUGAUUGCCAAUUCCGAAGCCCCACUCCGAAGAAGUUGAAGAAGAUUGAUGAGUGAACAGAGAUUGAUAUAUAGAGAGGCUCAGCAUCAUCGAAGGCGGCAUAUGGAGCAGGAACGUCCGUCGACGGCUACUACGUCGUCUUUAUCAUCGUCCUCUUCUGACGAUGAAACGGAUGGUGCCGUAUCGACGUCGGAGGACGCGAUAUAUGGCGAGAGACUGGAGCCGGAGUUCGAUUUGAUGAGGUCAAUGCUGCGCUCGAGUUAUAGCAAAGCAAAGCCUGCGGCGGAAUCGAAGCCGGAGGAGAAGAAUCUUGAGAUGGAGGACGUUGCUCAGAAGGCCAAGAAGAUCAAUUCGGUUGAAGAAGAGAGAAUUGAAGGAAUUGGGACGGAUUCGAAACCAGAAGUGAAGGAUUCCGGCGUUGGAGGCAAUGGUGUUGGUGGCGGUGGUGAGGUGAAGGGGAAGGACGGGCCAAUGUUUAGGGAUUUGGGUGGAAUGGGAGGGGUGGUGGAGGAGUUGACAAUGAAUGUUGUUGUUCCGUUGUACCAUCCGCAACUACCUCAGUGUCUCGUGGUGAGGUCGCCAGUGGGGGUUCUUUUGCACGGUCCACCUGGGUGUGGAAAGGCGAAGCUAGCUCAUUCCAUUGCCAAUGAGACUGGAUUUCCAUUUUAUGAGAUUUCAGCUACUGAAGUGGUCUCUGGUGUUUCAGGAGCAUCUGAAGAAAAUAUUCGAGAGCUUUUCUCAAAAGCUUACCGGACUGCUCCUUCAGUUGUAUUUAUUGAUGAGAUUGAUGCAAUUGCUUCAAAAAGAGAAAAUCUACGGAGGAAGAUGGAACGACGCAUAGUGACACAACUAAUGACCUGCAUGGAGGAAUCACACAGACUUGUACAACCGGCUGAUAAAGAUUUGAAUUCAGAAAGCUCUCAUCACGGACCUGGCUAUGUGCUUGUGAUUGGAGCUACCAAUAGAAUCGAUGCUGUUGAUCGCGCAUUAAGGAGGCUAGGAUGAUUUGAUCUUGAGAUUCUGUUGGGUGUACUAGAUGAAAGUGCAAGAUUUGAUCUUGAGAUUCUGUUUGGAUUUGAUCUUAGCUUGUUUCUUCAUUGUAUAGCAACUGGAAAACAGAAGUGAUACCAAACAGCCCUUGUUGUGGGACAUUCCUCCUGGCAGAGAAAAGUCAUUGUGAAUGCAACAAAAAACUGAAGUUGCCUUGUUGGUCCUUUGUUUGGUUACCAUUUCAUGCUACCGACAUUUCUCUUUGUUCUAUUUAUCUGGACAUUUGAAGUACAUCAAUGUUGCUAUGGUCACGGUUUUGAAGAAUGUUACCAAUGUGAUAACUGCACUCGGCGAAAUGUAUAUAUUCAAUAAGCCCCAUGACAACAAAGUUUGGACUGCUUUGUUCUUAAUGAUCAUUUCUGCAAUUACUGGAGGAAUUACUGAUCUAUCUUUUGAUGCUGUUGGCUAUACAUGGCAAAUUAUUAACUGUUUCUUAACAGCAUCAUAUUCAGUGAAUUUUUGUGGCUUAGUGGAUUGACAAGGUAGCAAAGACUGCACAUCUCCAUAAAGCACCAUCCUUUCUGGUUUUGCCAAAACCUUAUUGAUUACUUGCCGGAAUUCCCCACAUCCUGCAGGGCCACCAGGCUUCACCAAAACACGAGAAGAGAACACACCAUGAGAAGUUGUUGGUUUAGGAAAGCUUGUAUUUGCAAUAUUUUGUCGUUUUAUUUCUUUGUUUUUUUUCUGGAUAUUUGGUCAAUAUGGUAAAAUAGAUCGAAUCUUCGUUGGUUAUUAUUGUGGUUAGGAGAAUGUUGAGAAGGUUAUCACUUUUCUAGCAUGUUUUGUGGAGUAUCUUUUAUGAAUUAAAUUUGAGUUAUGUUUUGCCUGA